rnacentral:rRNA from 1 species
UACGGAGGGAGCUAGCGUUGUUCGGAAUUACUGGGCGUAAAGCGCGCGUAGGCGGCUUUGUAAGUUAGAGGUGAAAGCCUGGAGCUCAACUUCAGAAUUGCCUUUAAGACUGCAUCGCUUGAAUCCGGGAGAGGUGAGUGGAAUUCCGAGUGUAGCAGUGAAAUGCGUAGAUAUGCGGAGGAACACCGAUGGCGAAGGCAAUCCCCCUGGACCUGUACUGACGCUCAUGCACGAAAGCGUGGGGAGCAAACAGA